rnacentral:rRNA from 1 species
CAUUCNUAAUAAAAGUGUUUUAUGGCACUUUUAAAACAAUCCAUAUCCACCUUGUGUGCAAUGUUUUUUUUUAAUCAAAUAACUCUAUUUUAAUUUAUUUUGUCUGAAAUAUAUUAUGAAUACUUAAUUCAAAAAUAUAACUUUCAACAACGGAUCUCUUGGCUCUCGCAUCGAUGAAGAACGCAGCGAAAUGCGAUACGUAAUGUGAAUUGCAGAAUUCAGUGAAUCAUCGAAUCUUUGAACGCAUAUUGCGCUCUCUGGUAUUCCGGAGAGCAUGCUUGUUUGAGUAUCAGUAAACACCUCAAACUCCAAGAUUUGUUUCUUUGGGAGUUUGGAAUUGAGUAAUCCUAACGAGAAAGCAAUUUCUUGGCAGGUCACUUGAAAUUCAGGUGCAGCUGAACAUUCUUCUGAGCUAAAAGCAUAUUUAUUUAGUCCUGUCGACUUUCGAGUUUAUGGAUUAUUACUUUUUGCUGCAGCUAAUAUAAAGGUUGAAUGCUUUCAAAUGCUGACUGAUGCAGGAAUUUAUCGGUUUCAUUUUUGUAAACUGUUAAACUCGAUCUCAAAUCAAGUAAGACUACCCGCUGAACUUAA